rnacentral:rRNA from 1 species
AAGUAGUACAACCCUAUCAAGAAAACUUAUUUCCUUUGGCGGCAUUCUCCCUAAUUAGAGGAACUUGUUUCAUAAUCGACACCCCGCGAUAAUCUUCACUUUUAUUUAAAAUUUAUAUACCGCCAUCUAAAGAGUUAAUUUCAAAAUAAUAUUCAAAAUAAAACUUAAAAAGUUAGGUCAAGGUGUAAUCAACAUAAAAGAUUAAAAUGAGUUACAUUAAAAAUCAAUUUAGGAUUAUAAAAUCAAAUUUUUACAUGAAAAGGGAUUUACUAGUAAUAUAUAAAUAUUACUUCUAUAUGAAAUAGAAAAUAAAUGUGC